rnacentral:rRNA from 1 species
UACGAGAGGCCCAAACGUUAUUCGGAAUUACUGGGCUUAAAGAGUCCGUAGGCGGCGCAGAAAGUAGGGUGUGAAAGCCCUCGGCUUAGCCGAGGAAUUGCGCUCUAAACUACUGUGCUUGAGGAACCUAGAGGUGAGCGGAACUGAUGGUGGAGCGGUGAAAUGCGUUGAUAUCAUCAGGAACACCGGAGGCGAAGGCGGCUCACUGGGGGUUAUCUGACGCUGAGGGACGAAAGCCAGGGGAGCGAACGGG